rfam:Schistosoma mansoni strain Puerto Rico chromosome 2, complete genome
AUCCAGUUGACGAGUCCCAAAUAGGAUGAAAAGCAUGUCAAACUGGAU